GGCUUAUUUGAGAAUAAUUUUAGGUUUGGCCUGCCCACUGAAAUUUUAAAGGGCCGCGGUAUCUUGACCGUGCAAAGGUAGCAUAAUCAUUAGUUUUUUAAUUGAAAGCUAGAAUGAAUGGUUGGAUGAAAAAAUAACUGUUUCAUUUUUAAUUUUUAUGAAUUUUAUUUUUAAGUUAAAAAGCUUAAAUUUAAUUAAAAGACGAGAAGACCCUAUAGAUUUUAAUAAAAUUAAAAAUUUAAUUUUUUUAGAAUUUUUGUUAUUAAAUUUUUAUUUUUUUUAAUUGGGGUGAUUAUAAAAUUUAAUUAACUUUUAUUUAAAUUAAAUCAAUGAUAAUUGAUUAUUUGAUCCAAUAUUUUUGAUUAAAAGAUUAAAUUACCUUAGGGAUAACAGCGUUAUUUUUUAUGAGAGUUCUAAUCGAAUAAAAAGUUUGCGACCUCGAUGUUGGAUUAAAAUUAAUUUUUGGUGAAGAAGCUAAAAAUAUUAGGUCUGUUCGACCUUUAAAAUUUUACAUGA
rnacentral:rRNA from 1 species